rnacentral:rRNA from 1 species
UGGGGAAUAUUGGACAAUGGGCGAAAGCCUGAUCCAGCCAUGCCGCGUGUGUGAAGAAGGUCUUCGGAUUGUAAAGCACUUUAAGUUGGGAGGAAGGGCAGUAAGUAAUACCUUGCUGUUUUGACGUUACCGACAGAAUAAGCACCGGCUAACUCUGUGCCAGCAGCCGCGGUAAUACAGAGGGUGCAAGCGUUAAUCGGAAUUACUGGGCGUAAAGCGCGCGUAGGUGGUUUGUUAAGUUGGAUGUGAAAGCCCCGGGCUCAACCUGGGAACUGCAUCCAAAACUGGCAAGCUAGAGUACGGUAGAGGGUGGUGGAAUUUCCUGUGUAGCGGUGAAAUGCGUAGAUAUAGGAAGGAACACCAGUGGCGAAGGCGACCACCUGGACUGAUACUGACACUGAGGUGCGAAAGCGUGGGGAGCAAACA